ensembl:lncRNA
GGUUGCAAUUCUCUUGGGCUGUUGCUGGUCAUCAGAAAGGCAACAAGGAAGAAAAUGGAGGAAUUGUGGGGGGAAUCUCUUUAAGGAGAAAGAAGUGGUGGUGAUCAAAUACCUGCUGUCAGAUGAUACAAAAACCUCACUUCAAAUUUUCUGCACAGAGCUGAACAGUCAUUUGUAUGGCACUUACCUUGGACAUCCUCCAGCAACCAGAGAAAGCAGCUCUUCAAAAUGUGUGGAGGAAGCCACCAGAUCAUGGAAGGAAAUGGAUUUUCAGAUGUUGCUAAGUGACAUCUAAGAGUGUCUCUCUUGGUGAAGAACAGAGGUGCCCUGGGAAACCAGUCCGACUGGGAGAAUGGAAAUUUUCCAGAUGUGUUAGAUUUCCUUUUGUAAGCUGGAGUCUGGUGCUCUGCAAAAACUUGGAAGGAGGAAUACGUAAGAUCAGUAAGGACAAGAACACAGUGGUGGACAGCCCAAAGUGGCCUUUUGUAGGUACUUCUCAAGGUACUUUAUUACACAGCUGUUAUUGUUGCAGUAAUGAGAAUAUUCCCAGUGUUAAGGAGCCUUUCCUUAUGGCAAAACAGAAGAGCCUCAUUUCUUCAUCUUUUUGACUGUAAAUGCAAGGCAAAAUUCAGUGGUCUGCUGAGCCUCAGCUAGAAUUCUUAGUGGGAACUGUACUACUGGAGCACAUACA